rnacentral:lncRNA from 1 species
GACUCCUUGGAGACGCGUUCGGCCCAAACACAUACACAAAUUUGUGUGCAUAUUCAUCUAUAUACACCAUAUCCACCGAAUUCAUCAGGGAGGAUGGACACAUCUACAUUCCGAAGAGAAAAUCGCCGUCUAGACAAUCUCCGUGUGUUAUCUGCCACACUUGUGCCACCCUCGGCAGUGUCAGAGGAUUAAGCUACGUUGCUUUUGCCUGAACUGCGCCGAUUUGGUUGGGGCAAGACAGCAAGCAGUAUUGAAAUGGUGAGAAAAAAAAGCAUAUAUCCUGCCAGAACAAACCCUUCCAAGUUUAUCACAAUGAUAAACCUGAGGCACAUCUCACUUGACAAGGUAUCCAACUGGAGAACAGGAUACAAGGAACAUGAAAACUGAGCAUAACAGCCAUCAUAACAUUAGAAAGGAUGGGAGCAGGAAGAAAAUAUUUUAAAAACACUAUGGAUUUUAAUUUGUAAAAAACAGAGUGAUUCCAGUGGAUUUAAAAUUUUUAAUAGAGUUAGUAAAAUAAGCAGUAACCAAGUGGGAAAAUAAAUGCACAUGGG